rnacentral:tRNA from 1 species
CGCCGGCUUGGGCAGGCCGGGCGAGCCGUCGAGCUUGUAGUGCUCGCCGUCGAAGGAGAACGUCUCCCCUUCCGGCGUC